AGUUUGACCUGUCUUCUGUGAAACUUGAUUCCGAUGAUGAUCUUCUUCAAUUCAACACGUCUGGCCACAGUGUCAACUCAGAAAAAUACUGGCUCUGUCUCAGUCCUAUAUAGAUCUAAAAGAGGGUCAGGUCCAGCCCAGUAGUGGUGACUAUCCCUCUGUAACACAGUCUAGCAGAACUUUACAGCAUUCCAAGAGGAAAAUGAAUAAUGACGCCAGACCAUCACCUAAGAACAUGGCUUCUAAGAUCAGAAAAUUAUCCCAGAAAAAUAAUUGCAAGAAACCCAGAGCCAUUGCAGUGAUCAAGCCGCAGCCCAAGGUUUUGUUAAAAAAACUAAAUCAGAAUUAAAUCGUGAACGUUUAUAUUAUGUCGGUCAAACAGUAAAAAGAUGUCAGUAAGGAAGCACAGACCAGCUGUAUGUCCACUGAUGAACAGGCCAUUCACGUGUAAAAAUCUUGGAGUUUCUGAGAAGAAGUGGGUUGACCGGGUAAGCCGACCAUAUGCAGAAAUUCUGCGCUCCACUCCAAUAGAUGAUCUCCCAUAGCUCAAUAUACAUCGGUCUAUCAUGACUGUUCAAGAAAUUGACUGUGCAUGUAUGAGCAACAUAUUAAGUCUUCCUGGCAUUAGAGGAAUCGUUCGCUGCUAAUUUGACUUUGUUAUGGAAUUUUCCAUAGAAUACUUCAUUGAAACUAAUUUACCUGUAACAUGAUUGUGUAUGGAAUGAUUGAUGUACUUAAAAUGUAUUUUUGAAGAGUUAUUCAGCAGACAGCCUGUUGUUGGUUUUUUGGCUACUAUUGCUUGAAAAUGUGAUGUUUCAAUAUCGUGUUUCUUCCAAGCAUGUACUUUA